GGAUGUGAGGGCAAUCUGGCUGUGACAUCUGUCACCCCAUUGAUCGCCAGGGUUGAUUCGGCUGAUCUGGCUGGCUAGGCGGGUGUCCCCUUCCUCCCUCACCGCUCCAUGUGUGUUCCUCCUGAAGCUGCGCACUCGGUGGAAGAGGACGACUAUCCCAGAUAGAAGGAAUGUACCAUUCUUCGGCUCAGGGAACUGCAAUGCCAGUAUUGCUACCAGGCACAGUUCUAGGUUUUGCUUUUAGCAAUAGCAGCGCUAAACAACUCAAAACCUGCUAACCUAACAGACUGCCUCAACUGCAUAUUU